AUCCAGGAACCAACUACAAAAGGGAUUUUUCCAAGGUUGUGUAAAGAAUGCCUUGAAUUUAAUAAAUGGCCCAAAGCUUAGCUACUUUUAUCACGUGAAGAAUGAGAAAAACCUCCUCAUUCAUUGCUUAAAGAUUGAGUCUUCUAAAAUCUUUGAAAGUACCCAUCAAUUUAUGACAAAGAUCUCACAUGGUCAAAGAUUGUAUCUUAAAUGAAUCUUUGUAAAUCUUGACCAAGACUUAUCAUUUAUAUCAUGGGGCCAUAUUUGCAAAGAGUAGUCAUGGUUAUAAUGGACUAGGCAUGGCAAGGCAAUGAGCAAGCGAGAGUGGUGGAAAGUGUAAGUGAGAAGAGAGAGCAAGCUGUGUAAAGUUCACAAGUGAGUGGUUUAAACACUUGAGCUUGUGAGGGUUA
rnacentral:misc_RNA from 1 species